rnacentral:rRNA from 1 species
GACGAACGCUGGCGGCGUGCUUAACACAUGCAAGUCGAACGGAAAGGCGCUGCUUUUGUGGGGUGCUCGAGUGGCGAAGGGGUGAGUAACACGUGAGUAUCCUGCCCUUGACUUUGGGAUAACUUCAGGAAACUGGGGCUAAUACCGGAUAGGAGCUCCUGCUGCAUGGUGGGGGUUGGAAAGUUGCGGCGGUUGGGGAUGGUCUCGCGGCUUAUCAGCUUGUUGGUGGGGUAGUGGAUUACCAAGGCUUUGACGGGUAGCCGGCAUUGGAGGGUGACCGGCGACAUUGGGACUAAGGUACGGACCAGUAGGCUACGUGCGGCAGCGGGGGGAAACAUGGCGCAACGGGCGGACGCCUGAUGCAGCAGCGCCGCGUGCGUGAUGACGUCCUUCGGGGUAUAAACAGCUGUCGCAGUUGACGAAGCGUGAGUGACGGUAAUGAGUAAAGAAGCACCGGCUAACUACGUG